rnacentral:rRNA from 1 species
UACGUAGGGGGCGAGCGUUAUCCGGAAUUACUGGGCGUAAAGCGCACGCAGGCGGUUCGCCAAGUUUGGAGUGACAGUUGUCGGCUCAACCGACAAAGGACUUCAAAAACUGGUGAACUUGAGGACGAGAGAGGAACAUGGAACUCCAGGUGUAGUAGUGAAAUGCGUAGAUAUCUGGAAGAACACCAAUGGCGAAGGCAAUGUUUCUGGCUCGUUUCUGACGCUCAGGUGCGAAAGCCAGGGGAGCGAACGGG